rnacentral:rRNA from 1 species
AAACAUCGCCUCCUGCUAAAAGAUAGGAGGUCCAGCCUGCCCAAUGAUUUAUUAAAUGGCCGCAGUACCCUAACCGUGCGAAGGUAGCAUAAUCACUUGUUUACUAAAUAUAGACUUGUAUGAACGGCACCACGAGGGCUACACUGUCUCCCCCCUUUUAUCAGUAAAACUGAUCCCCCCGUGAAGAAGCGGGGAUUUAUAUAUAAGACGAGAAGACCCCAUGGAGCUUCAAACUGAGAGCCAACUGCCAAAUCUAAUACCACUUUACACUGCAGCCAUGAGUCAAAGUUUUCGGUUGGGGCGACCACGGAGCACAACAAAACCUCCGCGAUGAACAAACAUAAAACUCUUACCCAAGAACCACAACACAAAGGACCACCAACGUGACACCCAUUGACCCAAAUAAUUGAUCAACGAACCUAGUUACCCUGGGGAUAACAGCGCAAUCCAUUUCAAGAGCUCAUAUCGACAAAUGGGUUUACGACCUCGAUGUUGGAUCAGGGUAUCCCUGUGGUGCAACCGCUACUAAAGGUUCGUUUGUUCAACGAUUAAAACCCUAC